GAUGAACGCUGGCGGCGUGCCUAAUACAUGCAAGUCGAACGAGGUCUUCGGACCGAGUGGCGAACGGGUGAGUAACACGUUGGUACCUACCCGAAGUGGGAAGUAACUGGCCGAAAGGUCGGCUAAUACCGCAUAAUACCGCAAGGUUAAAGCAGUAAUGCGCUUCGGGAGGGGCCUGCGUCCCAUUAGCUAGUUGGUGAGGUAAUUGCUCACCAAGGCAACGAUGGGUAGCUGGAUCGAGAGGUUGACCAGCCACACUGGGACUGAGAUACGGCCCAGACUCCUACGGGAGGCAGCAGUAAGGAAUCUUCCACAAUGGACGAAAGUCUGAUGGAGCAACGCCGCGUGCAGGAUGACGGCCUU
rnacentral:rRNA from 1 species